ACAACAGCAGCAGUCCAAACACCAUUGAUGUCAUUCUGGUUUUAGUACCUCUUAGAAAGCUAACAAAAUGUAGGCCGGUCUCAUUUCUAGAGAGAGAUUCUUCCAUAUUAUAGGAUAUAUUGUCUGCAAUUCUAGCAACCACCAGAACUGAAUCACUGAUAUUUGGAAUUUCCAACAGUUUGUCAGUUAUCUUUUCAAAAGGUCUAAUAGCAGACCUGUGGCUAUGAUCUUGAUGGGAAAAAAAACAAGAGAGGUUUUAACCCUUUGCUGUGGGCCUGACCCAGAUAUAAUGUCUUUCCCGCCUGUAAUUUGCAUUUUUAAACUGUGAUAUCACAUUUAGGUUGACCUUAACUUGCACAUAUCAAGGUAACAAAACCCCUUUUUGCCCCCGGCAUCAUCAAUUGGGACACUUCAUAAGUAAUUUACUGUAUUUGUGGCUUUUUUUAAUGUUGUGGUUAAUAAAUUGUCAGGAAGUGGAAAGUGCAAGACCUGAUGAUGUCAUUUUAACUCAUCUCUACUGUCUGAGCACAGUAGUAAUGGAUAUGCACACAAACAUAUAUAUAAGAGUACCUUCAUCUGUUUUAAAUUACAUCCCAAAAGUUCAAGUAAGUACCAAUGUAUACGCCUUACAUGUUUUAUAGAUAUGACUAGACUAGUACUGUUCAUUUUAUGUAUCUUUUUGGGAUAAUCCUAAUUUUCUGUGUCUAUUAAAAAGUCCAAGGCUGUAGCUGACACUUUCCAGGGCUGAUUGCCAUUCUUUUGGAACUAUGGAUCCAUGGAAGAAUUGGAUAAGAUACACUCUUCUGUGGGUAUUCUGCUGUUAUUACUUCCUCCUCCUCACUGUUUCAAGUCCUUUGCCCUUGAAGCAAACAGGCACUCUAAAUAAUAACUCCUGCAGCCUCAGCCAACACCACUUCCAGAGAAUCACCAUCAAGAACCUAACCUAUAGCGUGGCCAAACAGGCAAGGCUUUAUGAUAAGGACACAGAUAACAGAUUUGUGGGACAGCAUCUAUAUACCAACAUCACGAGGAAUGAACGUUGCUACUUAAUGAAAAGAGUAACAGAUACUGUGCUCACACAUGUCCUCUAUAACCUGAAGAACCAAUAUCCCAGUCUCCAAGAAGUAAUAUAUUUUUUGGUGUAUUUGAAUGCGGAACUGCGUGACUGUGUAAGCAUCAUAAGAAUUGUGUAUUGGGCAGAUACUCUCUCCUGUCAGAAUCCAGACCAUUUCAUUUCAGAUGAUGGUGGGAGGACUAUUUCAGCAUAUGUAAAGAAAAUACCAGUCUUGAAAAAACUUCAAAUGGUUUUUAUUUGUUCUCUAUCCCUUCUUCUCAAAUUUCUUCAUAUCUUCCACUUCAUAUCUAAUUUUCUUUCUUGGAUGGUUUCAAACUGCAAAUAGAGUUGGCCUCUGUUUAUCUACAGUACAUCUACAUCUACAUCUCAACUACAUCUAAUACCAUAGCUCUGGUGCUGACAGCACUAACAGAGGAAACAUCAAAUCAAAACAUCCAAGAUUUCUGAAGUUCAACACAAACCACAUUGUUAUAUCUUUUUCUUUCCUUUUCAGAAACCACUGGAAGAUAAAACAUACAUUGAAGGACAUUUGAAAAGAAUGAAAGACAAAUUAGAAGAGUUGGGAGAGAAUGGAAUGAACAAAGUAGUUGGUGAACUUG